UUUUCUAUACUACUUGAACGACCCUUGCUCUUGCAGUACUCUACAUCGUGAUCAUAUGGGUCAGCCUCAAGCAAAUAUCAAGGCCUAAAUAAGUGAGGUUGGCCAAUGUUCAAAAACAUUGGCACGACUUGGGCGUAGCUUGAACCUGGCCCACCUUUCAAACACAUCAAAUAGCCCCAUUUUCUUAUUAUUUUAUUCCUCCAUUAAACAUUUUCAUGUUUAUCACCUUGCUCACUUAUUUUUAGUCCAAACUCAAAGUGUUAUUUUGAAAUGAUUAUUAGCUUAACAUUGGAUAUACUAAUUUGCUAAAGAAAGGAAAAAAUUUUAUUAUAAUUUUUUUUUUAAAAGGAUGUUUUCCCUCAACUAAUAUUUUAGAAAGACUAGUUUAAAAAAUACAAACUAAAAGAAAUUUGCAGCGUUCCCAUGCAAGCAAUGGAAAAUCUUCCAAAGGAACCCUCCACCUUAAGCAAAAAGGAUUAGAUAAAAGAGAAAUCAUUCUGUAGGAGGAAGAACAAAAGAACUACCUGUCUGUCUAUCCGCACUGGCAAUAGCAGGGGGCAUUCCAGAACUAGUUCCAAUUCCGGGGCCAAGGGCACGAGCUGGAGGAUUAGCCAGCUGUGAUUGCUGAUACUUCAAUAUUGUCCAGUCAAAAACAUAGUCAAAC
rnacentral:misc_RNA from 1 species